rnacentral:rRNA from 1 species
UAAUACGAAGGUGGCAAGCGUUGUUCGGAAUCACUGGGCUUAAAGCGCACGUAGGCGGAACAGAAAGUGUCUUGUGAAAGCCCCCGGCUUAACCGGGGAAUUGCUCGGCAAACUCCUGUUCUUGAGUCAAGUAGGGGUACAUGGAACUCUUAGUGGAGCGGUGGAAUGCGUAGAUAUUAAGAGGAACGCCAAUGGUGAAGACAGUGUACUGGGCUUGUACUGACGCUGAGGUGCGAAAGCGUGGGGAGCGAACGGGAUUAGAUACCCCGGUAGUCCACGCCGUAAACGAUGUCUACUAGGUUGUGGAGGUUCCGACACACUCACAGCCGGAGCAAAAGUGUUAAGUAGACCGCCUGGGGAGUACGGUCGCAAGGCUA